rnacentral:misc_RNA from 1 species
GUGCCCGUCCACCGAACGGUCGGCAGGCGAUCCGCGUCGGUCGCGCGAGGUGGUAUGGUUCCCCAGAGGCCGGUUCUUGUGCUGGCUACCCCUUCAGGGGAAGAGUUCCAAACUCGAUGUAAGCCUCCAUCCGGCGCCCUCCAAAGGGCGCGGGAGGACAACGGAGCACCCCCCGCGUUCCACCGAGCCUCCUCGGUUGCGUGGCCCGCGGGGACGUGCGAUGCUCUCGGACCCAGCGAACGCCGCGGGCGAGGACUCACGUCCCGGUCCCAAGAGAAGCUCCGAUAUAAUUGCAUGACGGCCGCUCCCGCCCCCCGACCGCCCGGCGGCCUGGGGGCGAAGGCGCGGCGUCGCGGAGGAAUGCU